AUUGAACGCUGGCGGCGUGCUUAACACAUGCAAGUCGAUCGGUAACAGGUGUAGCAAUACAUGCUGACGAGAGGCGGACGGGUGAGUAAUGCUUGGGAAUCUGCCUAUUAGUGGGGGACAACCCGGGGAAACUCGGGCUAAUACCGCAUACGCUCUACGGAGGAAAGCCGGGGACCGCAAGGCCUGGCGCUAAUAGAUGAGCCCAAGUCGGAUUAGCUAGUUGGUAGGGUAACGGCCUAC
rnacentral:rRNA from 1 species